rnacentral:tRNA from 1 species
AAUAAAGUGCCUGAUAAAAGGAUUAUUCUGAUAGAAUAAAUUAUAUAAAUAAAUUUAUCUUUAUUA